rnacentral:rRNA from 1 species
GUGGGGAAUAUUGGACAAUGGGCGAAAGCCUGAUCCAGCAAUGCCGCGUGAGUGAUGAAGGCCUUAGGGUUGUAAAGCUCUUUUGCCAGGGAUGAUAAUGACAGUACCUGGAGAAUAAGCUCCGGCUAACUCCGUGCCAGCAGCCGCGGUAAUACGGAGGGAGCUAGCGUUGUUCGGAAUUACUGGGCGUAAAGCGCGCGUAGGCGGCUUUGUAAGUUAGAGGUGAAAGCCCGGGGCUCAACCCCGGAACUGCCUUUAAGACUGCAUCGCUUGAAUCCGGGAGAGGUGAGUGGAAUUCCGAGUGUAGAGGUGAAAUUCGUAGAUAUUCGGAAGAACACCAGUGGCGAAGGCGGCUCACUGGACCGGUAUUGACGCUGAGGUGCGAAAGCGUGGGGAGCAAACAGGAUUAGAAACCCGUGUAGUCC